GCGCCGUUGGUGUAAGGCGUAGGUAGCAUCCCUGCCCGGAAAGCAGAAGAUACGGGUUCGGGUCCCGUCUGGUGCA
rnacentral:tRNA from 1 species